UGCGUAGGGGGCUAGCGUUGUCCUGAAUCAUUGGGCGUAAAGAGCGUGUAGGCGGCCCGGUAAGUCCGCUGUGAAAGUCGGGGGGCUCAACCCUCGAAUGCCGGUGGAUACUGUCGGGCUAGAGUGCGGAAGAGGCGAGUGGAAUUCCUGGUGUAGCGGUGAAAUGCGCAGAUAUCAGGAGGAACACCAAUUGCGAAGGCAGCUCGCUGGGACGUAACUGACGCUGAGACGCGAAAGCGUGGGGAGCAAACAGG
rnacentral:rRNA from 1 species